rnacentral:rRNA from 1 species
CCUACGGGUGGCAGCAGUAGGGAAUCUUGCGCAAUGGGCGAAAGCCUGACGCAGCAACGCCGCGUGAUUGAUUAAGCCCUUCGGGGUGUAAAGAUCUGUCAGUGGGGACGAAACUUGACGGUACCCACAGAGGAAGCACCGCCUAACACCGUGCCAGCAGCCGCGGUAAUACGGAGGGUGCAAGCGUUGUCCGGAGUCAUUGGGCGUAAAGAGUGCGUAGGUGGGAUAUUAAGUCUGGUGUUAAAUGCAGAAGCUCAACGUCUGUUCGGCACUUGAUACUGGUAAGCUUGAAUGCGGUAGAGGUAAAGGGAAUUCCGGGUGUAGCGGUGAAAUGCGUAGAUAUCAGGAGGAACAUCAGUGGCGUAGGCGCUUUACUGGACCGUAAUUGACACUGAGGAACGAAAGCCGGGGUAGCAAAUGGGAUUAGAUACCCCUGUAGUC